GGAGUUAGCCGGUGCUUCUUCUGUGAGUGAUGUCCUUCCUGCCGGCUAUUAACCCGCAGGCCUUCUUCCUCACUGAAAGUGCUUUACAACCCGAAGGCCUUCUUCACACACGCGGCAUGGCUGGAUCAGGGUUGCCCCCAUUGUCCAAUAUUCCCCACUGCUGCCUCCCGUAGGAGUCUGGGCCGUGUCUCAGUCCCAGUGUGGCUGAUCAUCCUCUCAGACCAGCUACGGAUCGUCGCCUUGGUGAGCCGUUACCUCACCAACCAGCUAAUCCGACAUAGGCUCAUCCGAUAGCGCGAGGCCCGAAGGUCCCCCGCUUUCCCCCGUAGGGCGUAUGCGGUAUUAGCCUGGGUUUCCCCCAGGUUAUCCCCCACUACCGGGCAGAUUCCUAUGCAUUACUCACCCGUCCGCCGCUCGCCACCAGGGAGCAAGCUCCCCGUGCUGCCGCUCGACUUGCAUGUGUUAGGCCUGCCGCCAGCGUUCAAUCUGAGCCAUGAUCAAACUCUGA
rnacentral:rRNA from 1 species